rnacentral:lncRNA from 1 species
AUAAUGUUAUCGAACUUUUAUUAUAUUUGUUUUGUUAAAAUACUACGUAUGGUUAUAAAAACAUAGUAAGUAUAAAUAUAUGUAUAUUUCUCAGAAAUCCUUUAAAAAACAGGUAACUUUUCAUGCAUUAUUAUUUUUAAACAUUUUAAUUAUAUGCCAAAUAAAUACAUUUUUAACCAACCUUAGCUUCAAUAACAUAUACACUAAAAAAUUUGUAUAUAAAACAUUUUGCCAUCUGACUUCAAAUUAGCAGGUCUGAACUGAGGAUAAUAUUAAAAUUGACAUUCCAGUUAAUCCAGGAAACAGAGGAGGCCUUAGGUAUUGCAUCAGGAGUUAGGAGAGUCAGAGUUAUAACAAAGAAGAUCGUGUGGCUCCUUUGAAGAAAAAGUGAGAAUAAGCAGCAAGAUUAAAGCCAUAAAAAACUAGAAUAAUGAUUGACUCAAUUUUGAUGAACUGAAAAGGCUAUGGAUAACAAGAGUUCCAGAACUUCCUUUUCUAUGAAGUCCUGUGCCUGCUCAUUGAAAAACAAUGAAUCAGUCUAGACUUGCAAGACGAAAUAAUUCCCUCAAAGCUGGACAUUUAUAUAUUAUUUAUGUAGCAUAUUUCAAUAUUGAUGGUAUAGCCUCAUAUACAGUUGAUUGUAAAACCAUUCUUUCUGUUAGAGUAGGUAGGCAGACAUGAGCAGGGCAGGAGAAGCCCACCCACACAUACCAGGAAUGUCAAGAGAGCAUCAGGUGAUGGUCAGGCAGCUGUUAAACUGCCUCUCUAACAUAAUAAUUGAUUCCAGCUGGUACCGGUGAAAGGCAGUCUCCCAACAGAUAGAAAACACCUGAAGCUGGUGAUCAGCAGCUUUAGAAAACACGGGAAGCUGGUGAUCAGCAGCUUCCAGAUAAGAUCUCAGCACUCUAAGAGACAAGAUGGUGGAAUUUAACUAGUAUAUGACCUUUCUUUAGGAACGCUCAACUGGUAUCCAGAUGCAGAAGUCUUACUUCCUGCUUUUCUAUGACAUCAUCCUUCAGAAGGCGGGGCAUAGGCAAGAACAUGAUAAAGCACUUCUCCUUCCUGCCAUCAUGUGAAGAAGGAUGUGUUUGCUUCCCCUUCUGCCAGGAUUGUACGUUUCCUGAAGCCUCCCCAGCCUGCAGAACGGCAUUCACAUUCACUCACCACUUACUGACUCACCCGGAGCAACUUCCAGCCCUGCAAGCUUCAUUUAUGCAUAUUUUUUAAUGAAUUGCCAUCUUCAAAAGAGAACAAGGAACAUAAUUUAAGCUUUAUAUGAUGACUCGAGGUUAUUAUUAUGAACAUUCAUGCUACAGUGUAAUCAAGUUAUGCCUCUGAGGUUUUUACUGAUGCUUGAUCUUCUGAAACUAGGUUCAGACUUCUAUUCUUUCUGGAUUUUUCUGGCGAUUCUAACCUUAAGUUAACCUUGAGCUUUUGGAAUAUAGGUAACUUGAGUAAGAGUCACAGGUGGGGUUAUAGAUGAAAUCAUAUUUUUGUUUUAUACUUAUUGGGCUAAUUUAUACUGCCAACUAUCUCUGUAAUAAUAUCUCUAUAUUUAGAGAUACAUCUAUAUCUAUAAUAUCUCUAUAAUCAUGUAAAUUAUGUCUGUUAAAAAAUAAAAGGGAUACACACACGUACACACAUUCACAUCACAAAAGCUUGCUUUAACCAUUCAAAAAGUAUGCUGUUUUCUUUGAAUCAUGUCAAGUAGUUUGCAUGAUUGUAGUUAUAAGUUGUUGACUAAAGCAUAGUUUCCAAAAUUAAAUUACUUAAAGCACAUAUUUUAUCAUAUCUUGUUGGUUCCUACGAAAUUAAAAUGAGUUCAUUUGCACAACAUUUAUUAAAUGACAAUGAUCAUGACUCUUCUAUUUGUACCCUUGCAAAAUUUUCAAUUGCUUUCAUUAUGAGCCUAAAAUCUUUACAGUUGCUUCUACCAAUAAUGUUCAAAAAAUUUUAGUAACAUGUUUCCUAAUUUUUAAAAUUAACAAUACUUCCUUGUACAUUUUUAAACUGCAUUUCAGUAUUUUAAAUAUUUAUGUUUACUUAAUAGAAAAUAAAAUUACACAGUUUUACCUACAAAUAUACUACUAAAUGUGUAAAACUAAUCUAUAAUGUUAUUUUUAAAUUAGAAUCCAAAUGUUAAAUAAC